ACGGGGCCGGGCUGAUGGGGAGUACGGCCGAGUAGAACGCGGCGGCGGCGUCGGUGUCCGAGGUGCUCAGCUCGUUCCAGAUCAGCGCGCCGUGC
rnacentral:tRNA from 3 species